CGAAGGUGAAGUUGAACAAAGCCUAGAGAUUUUGCUGAAUGUAGAGACUGAUCAUUGAUUUCAGGAGACUGACAUGGCUAAAAUGAGUUACCCUGAAGGCCCAUCAUUGAUUCUCUCCUUUUAUCCAGAAAAAUCUUGGCACCUGCCUAGAUAAAGGUUUAAGCUUCAUCUCAGACCAGCUGCAUCUUGCUAAGAAGAAGCAGGUGUCACCGCCUCAUGUCAGCGGGAAGCUCCCGAUAGCGCCAUUUCCUAGAGAAAGGCCUGCCAAGCUCAUUACCGUGUCCUGUGUGCUUAAUGGAGCAAUCUUGAAACUCUAAAAGUCACCUCGUUGAGGGUUUGUUGUUCUUCAAUAAAGGUUGCGGAAGCAUCGAUU